AUAAUUAUGGCUUCUCUUUUUCUAUCAAAAUUUUCUUUCUUUCCUUUACUAAUAAUAAUAACUUUAUUUUUUCACUCUUCUCAUUGUGAUGUCCUAACAAGAUGUCACAUCACAUCACUUUUCCAGUUCGGCGAUUCUAUCGCGGAUGCUGGAAACGUGAUCCGCAUACCGGGUGCCGUCAUAUCGGCCCAGGCAUGGGGUCUACCUUAUGGUGAAACCUUUUUUCAUAAACCUACUGGACGUUUUUCUGACGGUCGUAUUAUCGCUGACUACAUCGCCACAGCUCUCAAUCUCCCAUUCCUCAAUCCUUACAUGGACAAAUCAGGUGUUUCCUUUAGUGAAGGUGCUAAUUUCGCCGUUGCUGGUGCAACGGCGAUGAAUAACUCUUUUUUGGCGGAGAGGGGCAUUGGACAUGUCCCGUUCAACGUUCCUCUCCCGAGUCAAUUAGAGUGGUUUAAAUCUCACCUCCAGUCAACCUAUGGGUCAAAAUAUUCUACAACUCUACGAAACUCUCUUGUAGUAUUAGGAGAGUUUGGUGGAGUUGAUUAUUGGAAUGCUUUAGCGGGAAAUAAACCUGAACCUGAGGUACGUACAUACGUACCUUUUAUUAUUGAUGGCAUUAUAAGUGCCAUCAAAGAGGUGAUCCAAUUAGGAUCAACUCGCAUUUUGGUUCCAGGAGUUUUUCCUUUUGGGUGUCUAUCAUCAUACCUAACACGAAUCCAGAUGCUUAUGAUCAAUAUGGCUGUUUGAAAUUUUAUAAUGAUUUCGCUACGUACCACAAUACUGAGCUAAAGAAGGCUCUAGAAAAUCUAGGACGUGAGUUCCCACGUGUUAAAAUUGUGUAUGGGGAUUACUAUGGGGGUUUUAGGCUUGUUUUUCGAUACGCGUCUUGGUUGGGAUUUAAUCAAAGUACAUUGGUAUCGGCAUGUUGUGGAAGCGGAGGAGGACGAUACAAUGCCGGGGGAUGCAGUUCAGCUAGUACCAAUGUAUGUCCUAACCCGUCCCAAUACGUUAAUUGGGACGGGCUUCAUCUGACAGAUGAAGCUUAUCAUCGUAUUUCUAACGUUGUUAUCAACAAUAUGCUUCCAAAAUUUGGGUGUCGUGGACUUGGAAAUUCGAGUGUAUUGUCUAGUUAUUGAGUUUUUGAAGGUUUUUGUUUAAUUUUGGUGUUUUGAUUUUGUGUUAUGUGUUUUUCUUGAUUUUCUUUGAUUUUGGGUUUUUUUUUAAAAAAAUGAAAUGUUUUGUAGUUGAAAUGAAUAUGAAUAAAAGAAUGAUUAUUGUGGUAUUGUAA